CGUCCCGGAGCCUGGGAGUCGCCGUCAGGCCUGAGGCUACAGCGGGGCGGACCCAGUGCGCCGCCCACAGCCGAUCGACAUUUCCCAGAAUCAUCCGCGCAGGGGACAAAAUUCCAGGCGCAACGAACCGCAGGUACCGGAAGACCACACUUCCCAGGAGUCUCUGCGGCCGCGCGGACCUGGGGCGCCGCGGGCAAACAGAUCUCGGUUUCCUAAAAAACUAAACCGCCUGGGGCUGUCGUCCCAGAGCCCGGCAGUUAGGACCAUGCGGGAAGUGUCCUGGGGCAUAUAGUCAUACUGAUGAGGUGAAAGAUACACCUCGGAACCAAGGGCCACCCUCUACUUUUAAGGACAAUGGCGCCGGGACCAAGAAACUACACUUCCCAGAAAACCGUGCGGCCGUGGCAAACUCUUCUGGGUCUAGCGUGCGCUCACACUAAUGUUUAUCUCCCGGGACGUGGGCAGACCUUGUACCAGGCGAGCUCUCGCCUUUGCUAGCAAAAGAGCUCCUCUCUUCCCAAACCCUGCUACUACGCUGUCCACCCUGUAUGGUCUUUGAGGUCUUUGAGGUUUUUUUGGAAUUCACUUGCUGGAGACUACAGCUCACAGAACGCCCUGGGCUGGAUUGUGCCAGCUGUAGUUCGCGAACCAAGGACAUUUCCUGGAAAUGCAUGCGGCCACGUAUCUGUGACAGAAAUGGCAGUUCUCACGUGCGUUACGCCCCCUGGAAGGACUUGGAAAUACGGAACUUGAGUGAGCACUGAGAGGACACAGACCCUCAUCCUGGGAGGAGUCACUCCUCCCGCAGCCAUCAGAGCCUGACAACCGCUUCUCACCAGAGGCGCUUCUUAGACCCUGACCUUGCCCGGCUCACCCAAAGGGGCAAUGGCCUUCUUUGUAUGCAAGCCAGACAGUCUACUGUUGUAUAUUUGAAUUUUUUACUUUAUUUUUAAUAUUUUAAUUAAAUUUUAAUUUAAUGCUGCCUCUACCUCUGAGA
rnacentral:lncRNA from 1 species